rnacentral:rRNA from 1 species
AUACGGAGGGUGCAAGCGUUAUUCGGAAUCACUGGGCGUAAAGCGCGCGCAGGCGGUCUUUUAAGUUGGAUGUGAAAGCCUACGGCUCAACCGUAGAACUGCAUCCAAAACUAUUAGACUAGAGUGUGUGAGAGGAAGAUGGAAUUAGUUGUGUAGGGGUAAAAUACGUAGAGAUAACUAGGAAUACCAAAAGCGAAGGCAAUCUUCUGGAACACUACUGACGCUGAGGCGCGAAAGCGUGGGGAGCAAACAGAAUUAGAAACCCUAGUAGUCC